rnacentral:lncRNA from 1 species
GUUCAGCAUCUGGAGUCUCGUGCCCACCCCACACCACCAGGAAACCUGCUGAUGGAUGUGCCCAGUGUCCUUUGUGCUGCCAACAGGAAACCCAGACAGCCAGAGGCCAAAAUCCAGAACACAGAGGCCUUCCCAGUGGGUGAAGGACGUAGCAGAUCACAAGGAGCCUAUGCAUGUUGGAGGGCUUAAUCUAGUGAGAUGAAGCAGGGAGAAGCCAGCUCC